GAUGAACGCUGGCGGCGUGCUUAACACAUGCAAGUCGAACGGAAAGGCUCCUGCUUGCAGAGGUACUCGAGUGGCGAACGGGUGAGUAACACGUGGGUGAUCUGCCCUGCACUUCGGGAUAAGCCUGGGAAACUGGGUCUAAUACCGGAUAGGACGAUGGUUUGGAUGCCAUUGUGGAAAGUUUUUCGGUGUGGGAUGAGCUCGCGGCCUAUCAGCUUGUUGGUGGGGUAAUGGCCUACCAAGGCGUCGACGGGUAGCCGGCCUGAGAGGGUGUACGGCCACAUUGGGACUGAGAUACGGCCCAGACUCCUACGGGAGGCAGCAGUGGGGAAUAUUGCACAAUGGGCGCAAGCCUGAUGCAGCGACGCCGCGUGGGGGAUGACGGCCUUCGGGUUGUAAACUCCUUUCGCUAGGGACGAAGCGCAAGUGGCGGUACCUGGAGAAGAAGCACCGGCUAACUACGUG
rnacentral:rRNA from 1 species